rnacentral:rRNA from 1 species
GGUUAAGCGACUAAGCGUACACGGUGGAUGCCCUGGCAGUCAGAGGCGAUGAAGGGCGUGCUAAUCUGCGAUAAGCGCCGGUAAGGUGAUAUGAACCGUUAUAACCGGCGAUACCCGAAUGGGGAAACCCAGUGUGACUCGUCACACUAUCAUUAACUGAAUCCAUAGGUUAAUGAGGCGAACCGGGGGAACUGAAACAUCUAAGUACCCCGAGGAAAAGAAAUCAACCGAGAUUCCCCCAGUAGCGGCGAGCGAACGGGGAGGAGCCCAGAGCCUGAAUCAGCAUGUGUGUUAGUGGAAGCGUCUGGAAAGGCGCGCGAUACAGGGUGACAGCCCCGUACACAAAAGCGCAUGUGCUGUGAGCUCGAUGAGUAGGGCGGGACACGUGGUAUCCUGUCUGAAUAUGGGGGGACCAUCCUCCAAGGCUAAAUACUCCUGACUGACCGAUAGUGAACCAGUACCGUGAGGGAAAGGCGAAAAGAACCCCGGCGAGGGGAGUGAAAAAGAACCUGAAACCGUGUACGUACAAGCAGUGGGAGCCCCACCACCAAAGCAUUCUCUGGUGUUGAAGGCCCUGCAAAGCAGCAUCGCGGUGGCGGAGCGUCGUUUGCGACGCCCAACACACAAAACAAGCGGUGAAUGCUUUGGGGUGGGGUGACUGCGUACCUUUUGUAUAAUGGGUCAGCGACUUAUAUUCUGUAGCAAGGUUAACCGAAUAGGGGAGCCGGAGGGAAACCGAGUCUUAAUUGGGCGUUAAGUUGCAGGGUAUAGACCCGAAACCCGGUGAUCUAGCCAUGGGCAGGUUGAAGGUUGGGUAACACUAACUGGAGGACCGAACCGACUAAUGUUGAAAAAUUAGCGGAUGACCUGUGGCUGGGGGUGAAAGGCCAAUCAAACCGGGAGAUAGCUGGUUCUCCCCGAAAGCUAUUUAGGUAGCGCCUCGUGAAUUCAUCUCCGGGGGUAGAGCACUGUUUCGGCUAGGGGGCCAUCCCGGCUUACCAACCCGAUGCAAACUGCGAAUACCGGAGAAUGUUAUCACGGGAGACACACGGCGGGUGCUAACGUCCGUCGUGAAGAGGGAAACAACCCAGACCGCCAGCUAAGGUCCCAAAGUCAUGGUUAAGUGGGAAACGAUGUGGGAAGGCCCAGACAGCCAGGAUGUUGGCUUAGAAGCAGCCAUCAUUUAAAGAAAGCGUAAUAGCUCACUGGUCGAGUCGGCCUGCGCGGAAGAUGUAACGGGGCUAAACCAUGCACCGAAGCUGCGGCAGCGACGCUGAUGCGUUGUUGGGUAGGGGAGCGUUCUGUAAGCCUGCGAAGGUGACCUGUGAGGGUUGCUGGAGGUAUCAGAAGUGCGAAUGCUGACAUAAGUAACGAUAAAGCGGGUGAAAAGCCCGCUCGCCGGAAGACCAAGGGUUCCUGUCCAACGUUAAUCGGGGCAGGGUGAGUCGACCCCUAAGGCGAGGCCGAAAGGCGUAGUCGAUGGGAAACGGGUUAAUAUUCCCGUACUUGGUGUUACUGCGAAGGGGGGACGGAGAAGGCUAUGUUGGCCGGGCGACGGUUGUCCCGGUUUAAGCGUGUAGGUGUGUGUUCCAGGUAAAUCCGGUUCACUUUAACACUGAGGCGUGAUGACGAGGCACUACGGUGCUGAAGCAACAAAUGCCCUGCUUCCAGGAAAAGCCUCUAAGCAUCAGGUAACAUCAAAUCGUACCCCAAACCGACACAGGUGGUCAGGUAGAGAAUACCAAGGCGCUUGAGAGAACUCGGGUGAAGGAACUAGGCAAAAUGGUGCCGUAACUUCGGGAGAAGGCACGCUGACACGUAGGUGAAGUGAUUUACUCACGGAGCUGAAGUCAGUCGAAGAUACCAGCUGGCUGCAACUGUUUAUUAAAAACACAGCACUGUGCAAACACGAAAGUGGACGUAUACGGUGUGACGCCUGCCCGGUGCCGGAAGGUUAAUUGAUGGGGUCAGCGCAAGCGAAGCUCCUGAUCGAAGCCCCGGUAAACGGCGGCCGUAACUAUAACGGUCCUAAGGUAGCGAAAUUCCUUGUCGGGUAAGUUCCGACCUGCACGAAUGGCGUAAUGAUGGCCAGGCUGUCUCCACCCGAGACUCAGUGAAAUUGAACUCGCUGUGAAGAUGCAGUGUACCCGCGGCAAGACGGAAAGACCCCGUGAACCUUUACUAUAGCUUGACACUGAACAUUGAGCCUUGAUGUGUAGGAUAGGUGGGAGGCUUUGAAGUGUGGACGCCAGUCUGCAUGGAGCCGACCUUGAAAUACCACCCUUUAAUGUUUGAUGUUCUAACGUGGACCCGUAAUCCGGGUUGCGGACAGUGUCUGGUGGGUAGUUUGACUGGGGCGGUCUCCUCCUAAAGAGUAACGGAGGAGCACGAAGGUUGGCUAAUCCUGGUCGGACAUCAGGAGGUUAGUGCAAUGGCAUAAGCCAGCUUGACUGCGAGCGUGACGGCGCGAGCAGGUGCGAAAGCAGGUCAUAGUGAUCCGGUGGUUCUGAAUGGAAGGGCCAUCGCUCAACGGAUAAAAGGUACUCCGGGGAUAACAGGCUGAUACCGCCCAAGAGUUCAUAUCGACGGCGGUGUUUGGCACCUCGAUGUCGGCUCAUCACAUCCUGGGGCUGAAGUAGGUCCCAAGGGUAUGGCUGUUCGCCAUUUAAAGUGGUACGCGAGCUGGGUUUAGAACGUCGUGAGACAGUUCGGUCCCUAUCUGCCGUGGGCGCUGGAGAACUGAGGGGGGCUGCUCCUAGUACGAGAGGACCGGAGUGGACGCAUCACUGGUGUUCGGGUUGUCAUGCCAAUGGCACUGCCCGGUAGCUAAAUGCGGAAGAGAUAAGUGCUGAAAGCAUCUAAGCACGAAACUUGCCCCGAGAUGAGUUCUCCCUGAGACUUUAGGUCUCCUGAAGGAACGUUGAAGACGACGACGUUGAUAGGCCGGGUGUGUAAGCGCAGCGAUGCGUUGAGCUAACCGGUACUAAUGAACCGUGAGGCUUAACCUUACAACGCCGAAG